AAGCGGGAGGGGACUCCUGAGGGCGGUUAUUUCCAAUCCAGAACUGUGGCGAAUAGGCGAGGGGCGGAGGGAGGCGCUUAUGCCCAAGAGGCUUCACAGUCGGCGGCGCUUUGUCGGGCGCUGAGCGGGAGGCCUUCAUAGCACGCAGCUUUCACGCAUCAUCCUCAGCCGCCGGCGGGCAACCUCCACGGAGGCCGGUUGGGCUCCCAACGGCUUUAGCGCGCUGCCUGCCGCCUCACAGCGCCAGCGGUUCCUCCCACAAAGCUACCGGCGGUCUCUGCGUUCUUUUCCGUUAGAGGAACGGCAGCCAGCGCCCAGGCUGUUCCUAACGGAGAAACCUGAGGGGGAGUGAGGGGGGAGAGCAGAGUAAGCAAGGAAUUCAAGCAGACUACGAGUCCCAGCAGCCCCGGCCAGCACUACAUCUCCCGUGGUUCACCUAUGACAGAAUGAGGUCUUGUUAGGAGACGGAGCGUGUACUUUGAAGAAGAGGAGGGAGGUGGGCGUGCCUCUUCCGAAAGCAGCACCGAUUGGCUGAGGCGGAGUGCGAGGGCGGGACUACAGUAGCUUCGCUUUGGCUCGAGAAAGAAGGGAGCUCAAAAUGUGAAUCAAACCCGGUGAUUUCGGUUGUGGCCGUUAUUAAGGGCUGCGCUCUUAAAUAUGGAGUGGGCUAGAGAAACUUAAGAAUCGAAAAGCGACGAUGCCCCAUGAAGCUCCUUUUUUCUUUGGUGUUUGAAUCCGUAGUGCUUCCCACUUUAGGAUCACCUUUUCUCGUGGGUGGUCCCCAGGCUGCGCAUAUUUACUCGGAAGUACUGUAAGUCCCUUUGGGAUCCAGUAGGGCUUGAUCCAGUAGGGACACGGGUGGCGCUGUGGGUAAAAGCCUCAGCGCCUAGGACUUGCCGAUCGAAAGAUCGGCGGUUCGAAUCCCCGCGGCGGGGUGCGCUCCCGUCGCUCGGUCCCAGCGCCUGCCAACCUAGCAGUUCGAAAGCACCCCCGGGUGCAAGUAGAUAAAUAGGGACCGCUUACUGGCGGGAAGGUAAACGGCGUUCCGUGUGCUGCGCUGGCUCGCCAGAUGCAGCUUGUCACGCUGGCCACGUGACCCGGAAGUGUCUGCGGACAGCGCUGGCUCCCGGCCUAUAGAGUGAGAUGAGCGCACAACCCUAGAGUCUGGCAAGACUGGCCCGUACGGGCAGGGGUACCUUUACCUUUACCUUACUGUAAGUCCCUUUGGGAUCCAGUAGGGCUUGAUCCUACGCAAGAAAGAGCUUUAACAGAUGCCUAGGAAUGUCAGUUCUCCUCCUUAAUAGCAAUCCUAUGCGGAAGGGUAACUUCCAUCGAAGAGUGUGGGAAAUAAUGAGUGUCAUUACCUCUCUCUCUAUGGCUGUGAACUGACUUCUUCAUGUCCAUAGUCAACUGGCAAUCCCAAACCGCACCAGUGACAAUAAUGAUUCCACGAUGUGCUAUGUAGUUGACUGUUGGGGUUGGAUGUAGCAAGGAUGUAGCUUUAAAUCCUUACUUAGUUCUGAAACUCAUUUGAUGGGGGGAGCUGUGGCCUUUGAAAUUAGCCAGUUCUAAUCUGCUUCAUGUCUAGUUAGACUAAAGGGAAUAGUGAGAUAAUUGAGAUUAAUUACAAAUAAGGAUACAAUAUAUUUCAAGUAUAUUUAAGUAUAAUUACUUAGGAAUCACGUGAAAUAUGAUGCUUCUCUGUGUCUUGUUAAAGAUGCAAAUGACAGUGCAUGGAAUCAGACAAGAAGAACUAUAACAUAUUUCAAUGUUAUCUAGAUGUCAGAAAAUAUAUCAAGAUGAAAAUCUAUAAAAGAUGGGCGUAUGUGCAUCCAUUCCUUCUUUACUAUACUGUAUACAUUAUGUGGAAUGACAAAUUAUUCUAAAGGCAGCUUUUCCACUAUUAGGGGAAAUAUGUAUGUCAUUUUUAUUUGUGUUUUUAUAAUACAAUCUGGAUUAGGCAAAUUCCUGCACCGGAAACCUCACUUUCUUCUGCCUAUUUGAGUUGAAUGAUGAAAUCAUUUCUAUUUAGAGAUGGGAUUACAAUUAGUGAACAUCCUUAUCUUAUUCAGGUUGCUUAAAGGACUAUAUUUACACUCUUUCCCUCUCCAUUGACGUUUGUCUUGUUUGUUGCUUAAUCCAACUGCAUUGCUAAUACAUAUAAAGCACACUGUGUAAUCCUAUCCUUUAUUCAGAAAUAAGUCCGGUUCAGUUCAGAGGUAAGUGCAAUAUAGUAUUCCAUCCUUAAUUGCUUUCGUUGACAUUAAUUUAAAAUGUAGGAAAGAGUAAUGCAUACUGUAGGUAACCAUAUAAUUGUUAAAAUGCCUUAAGGCAAAAGACAACAAUAACAGUCUGCACAUGGUAUUCAGGAAGAUGAUGGCUUAACGCUGCAUGAUAUCUUUGUGAUGGAAAGGACUAAUUGUAUUAACCAUGAUACCUUUUUAAGUAAAAAAAAGUCAUGUGUAAAUCUAAAAUAAAAUUUUUAACACCUAGAAGUAUUUGAACAGAAAUAUUUAAUUAGAGGAAAAAUUUAAAAAGUAUUCUGAAUGUGGAUUAUAUUACUGGUAUAUUAUAUUAUAUUUAUAUUAUAUUGAAAAACAAUCAAAACUUUAUUUAGAAAUUAUUUUCAUUGGAAUACUUAUUUAUAUUUUAUACUUUUUUUACUGUUAAGACAGUAUAACUCACAAGCAUACAUUUUCAUUAUAUUGUUUUAAUUUGAAGAACAAAGUGAAGAUAUUGCAAACUGUUAAGAACAUGAUUUUAUCAUGCCCAAAGAUGCCUGAAAAAAAGUUAAGAUCAACUUUGAAGCUAAUUGAGCUUCCAUUCUUUGUAUACACAUUCUUUAUGUCACUGAUUUGUUAAAUAAAAAAUUGUUAAAUAAAAAUGUUUUGUUUC